GUAGUCUGCAACUCGACUACAUGAAGCUGGAAUCGCUAGUAAUCGCGAAUCAGAAUGUCGCGGUGAAUACGUUCCCGGGUCUUGUACACACCGCCCGUCACACCAUGGGAGUCAGUAACGCCCGAAGCCGGUGACCUAACCGAAAGGGAGGAGCCGUCGAAGGUGGGACCGAUAACUGGGGUGAAGUCGUAACAAGGUACC
rnacentral:rRNA from 1 species